GACGAACGCUGGCGGCGCGCCUAACACAUGCAAGUCGAACGGAGUUAUUUCAGCAGAAGCUUUCGGGUGGACGCAGGGAUAACUUAGUGGCGAACGGGUGAGUAACACGUGAGGAACCUGCCCUGGAGUGGGGGGAUAACAGUUGGAAACGACUGCUAAUACCGCAUAAGCGCACGGGACCGCAUGGUUUAGUGUGAAAAACUCCGGUAGGUGUGAGAUGGACCCGCGUUGGAUUAGCCAGUUGGCAGGGUAACGGCCUACCAAAGCGACGAUCCAUAGCCGGCCUGAGAGGGUGAACGGCCACAUUGGGACUGAGACACGGCCCAG
rnacentral:rRNA from 1 species